UACAGAGGUCUCAAGCGUUGUUCGGAUUCAUUGGGCGUAAAGGGUGCGUAGGCGGCGCGGUAAGUCGGGGUGUGAAAUCUCGGAGCUUAACUCCGAAACUGCAUUCGAUACUGCCGUGCUUGAGGACUGGAGAGGAGACUGGAAUUUACGGUGUAGCGGUGAAAUGCGUAGAUAUCUGGAGGAACACCGGUGGCGAAGGCGGCGUCCUGGACCAACACUGACACUGAUGAGCGAAAGCCAGGGGAGCAAACGGG
rnacentral:rRNA from 1 species